CUACGGGAGGCAGCAGUCGAGGAAAUUUUACAAUGUUCGAAAGAAUGAUAGAAUAAACCAGAGUGUUUCUCCUAGAGAAACUUUUGUUUGUUGUAAAAAGACAGACGAAUAAGGACUGGGCAAGACCGGUGCCAGCCGCCGCGGUAAUACCGGCGGUCCAAGUCGUAUCCACAUUUAUUGGGUCUAAAACAUUCGUAGCUUGUUUUGUAAGUUUCUUGUGAAAUCUGAUAUCUCAAGUAUCAGGCGUGCAAGAAAUACUGCAUUACUAGAGACCGGAAGAUGCAAAGAGUAUAAUUAAGGUAGCGGUAAAAUGUGUUAAUCUUAAUUAGACUAACAAUGGCGAAGGCACUUUGCAAGUACGGAUCUGACAGUGAGGGAUGAAGGCUAGGGGCGCAAAACGGAUUAGAUACCCGAGUAGUC
rnacentral:rRNA from 1 species